rnacentral:rRNA from 1 species
UACGUAGGGUGGCAAGCGUUUGUCCGGAAUUAUUGGGCGUAAAGCGCGCGCAGGCGGUCCCUUAAGUCUGAUGUGAAAGCCCACGGACUCCAACCGUGGAGGGGUCAUUGGAAACUGGGGGACUUGAGUACAGAAGAGGAAAGCGGAAUUCCAGCGUGUAGCGGUGGAAAUGCGUAGGAGAAUGUGGAGGAACACCAGUG